rnacentral:sRNA from 1 species
UUUCUGACAAACAUUUUUUUAUUUUAAAUUUGAAAAUAUAGUAACUUGUUGAGUAAACAUGUUUGAAUAUUUUUCUACCAUAGGAUAGGAUUAGCUUAAUACAAAUGCCAAGUUCUUCUGGAUAUAUUGUAGAUCUUUUUAACUUUUUUUAUUCAGAAUAUCUUCAUGAAGAAUGGCAGCAUCUUUCAUCUAACUCUAAAGAGAUUUACAUGAGUACAAAAAUUCAAGGAUAUAAGAAAACUAGCAUCGUUUGUGAGCUGUGUCAAAAAACAUUUGCCAGUCGUCGACUGUUGUCUGGUCAUAUGAACUCAAAACACCUUAAAGCCAAGCCCUAUGUCUGUCCACAUUGCUCUAAAGGAUUUUCUUACAAAACUAGUCUUGAUUAUCACUUAAAAACUUGUCAGCCAGUAUUUGUAUCAUUGUAUGCUUAAACAAUCCAAAUAGGUGCAAAUCAGCCAAUCUUUUCUGUUAAUUUUUUGUUUCUUUAUCACUUCAGACUGUCUUGAUUGGUACAGAAAUGGUACUAAGUUGCCUGUGACUGAUAGUCUUAGGAAAAAGAAGAACUAUGUGUGUCAUAUUUGUUCAAAAGCAUUUGUCAACUCUAGAAUUUUAGCAGGCCACAUUAAUUGUGUUCACUUGAAUAUAAAACCAUAUAAAUGUAUAUACUGCGCAAAAGCAUUUUCUUACAAGAAUAGUCUUGAUGUUCAUUCUAAAAUGUGCAACACCCAGUUUUCAAUAUCGUAAUAUGUCAGCCCAGAGCUUCAGCAGUAACAGCUAAUUUUUAAUUAUUUUUUAUCAACAUUUUUUCUUAAAAACAAUAGAAAUGUCUCAGCAACAUUGGUUUGGAAUUAGUGGAUUCAAAAGCUCAAGUAUACGAGGAGGAAAGCAAAUGAUAGGAAAUAUUGUAUGUGGGCUUUGUGAAAAAAGGUUUCCUUCGCGUAGAUCUCUCAAUGGUCAUAUGAAUUCUUCUCAUUUGCAUCAAAAGCCUUAUCAGUGCGAAUGGUGUGACAAGUCUUUUGCACAUCAAACCAGCCUUCAUUUUCACAAGAGAUUGUGCCAGCCAAAGUUGAAAAAUACUUCCUAACAACCCUUGUGUUCCAAGGAAUUACUGAUGACCUAAAGUUUAGGAAUCCAUUCAGAUUUCGAGCUUUUCGAUCAAAGAUUAUGUGUCACUAUUGUGGGAAAAAAUACACUUCUAGACGUGAUUUACAAGGUCAUCUGAAUGUUGUUCAUUUGAAGCUUAAACCUUUUGUUUGUUGUCAUUGUGGAAAAGCAUUCUCUUACAAUCAGCAUUUACAUGCACAUAGCAAAAUUUGUGCUCAUAGUUUUGGGCCAUAUUUGACUAAUUUGUGACAUUUCUUUCUUUAUUCUUGGAAGUAUUUCUAUCUUGACAGUAGUUUGGCAAUUCUCUUUAUAUUAAUAUAUUGUUUUAACUGUUAGUCAAAAUAUCUAACUUAUUUCAGUUGACCUCAAUCAGGAUUUCAACACAAGUACAUUGUGGACUGCAAACUCUUUAAAAACGCUGCGCUCAGGAUUCUCUUGUCAACACUGUGGAAAGUUGUGUAUUUCUCGAAGAGAUCUUUAUGGUCAUACAAAUGCUGUUCAUUUAAAAAUUAAACCUUUCAUUUGUCAGUUGUGUGGGAGAGGGUUUUCUUACAACAGAAAUUUGCAUGUUCAUAAGAAGGUUUGUCCAGCCCUUUUUACUCCCAAUUAGACCUGUGCUAACAUUACAUUUGAUAUGACUAGCUAUAUAACCAAAGUAAUAAACAUUAUGUCUCAACUUUGUCAGCACUAUGACCUUGCUAUUGUGAAGUUAAGUUUCAAUUGGUGCUAAGAAAAUGCAUUAAAGAAUUCAACAGUAAAAUGUGUUUUUCUUUGAACCUGUACUUUUUGCAAGUUUUGUUAAGGCAUACUUCAUGCCCUUUUUUUUCUGUUGGAACAAAUGAAUUAGUCUACUAGAUUAAACCCAAGCCUGAUAAAAAAUAGUAAACAUGUCUCCUUGCUGUAUUCCUCAGCACUUACUUUAAUGAAGUCACCAUGGAGGAAAUAUUCACCUGUGAAAAGAGCUUGGUUUUCCUCCAACCAGCACAGGUUGUCUUGUGAGAUUUGUCAUAAAACUUUCAUAACUACUAGAGAUUACAUUGGCCAUAAAAAUGCCAGGCAUUUAAAUGUCAAGCCAUAUCUUUGUCAUUUCUGCGGCAAUGGCUUUGCUUAUAAAAGAAGUGUAGAUUUUCAUCAAAAGAAUGGAAAGUGUCCAGCUAUGGUUAAAGUUGAAUAUUUUUGAUUUUUUUUUUUUGGUUGUCUUUUCAAUUAAAAUUUGUCAUUAGCUACUGUUUAUUGCCAAUGUAAACAAAAGAAAAAAAAAUGAAAUCACUCAAGAAACCAUUGAUACUAGACUAUUGUCUUGAUAAGGCUUAAUGUUAUUCAACUGUUAUGUUCUCAUUCUAAUCCCAGGAUCAUUGUUAUUUCUAUUUCAAACAAAUGGAUUGAGUUUACACACCAGUAAAUAAUGGUCCCGGUUUUGAAUUGAUUUAUCUUGUAUGAUGACAUUGUUUUGUUUUUAAUGGACACACAAUAAAUCACAUGAUAUUUAAAUAAAAA